GGGCUGGGAAAACUCUCAACAGGAGAGCUGGAUACAGCUGGCAGUGCAAGGAGAGACCUCUCCAGAGAGAGCAGCAGGAGGCAUUGCAAGCAGAUCUUUGAUGCUGCGGAUCAGAGAUGGACCCUGGUGAAAACUGGAAGCUGGAUGAAACAAACUGGUUGUCUCAUGGUGGGAUCCACCCCUUUUCCAAUGUGAAAGGAGGUAGGAUAUGAUUGCUGGCUCUUAAUCCA
rnacentral:lncRNA from 12 species